rnacentral:rRNA from 1 species
CUCAAUGAAAUUCAAUAGCCGCAAUACAAUUGUGCUAAGGUAGCAUAAUCAUUUGUUUUUUAAUUAAAAACCAGAACGAAAGAUUCAACAUUUUUAUUUCUCUCUCAUAUACAUAAAUCCAAAUUAUUUCAAAUAUAAAAAAAUAUUUAUAUAUAAAAAAGACGAUAAGACCCUAUUGAACUUAACUAAAGUUUAACUGGGGUAGUUAAUUAAAUACAAUUUUAAUUUAAAAAUUAAAAAAACCUAAUAUCAUUAAAACAAUCAAGUUACCAUAGGGAUAACAGCGCAAUAAUUUUCUUAAGAUCUUAUUAAAAAAAUUGUUUACGACCUCGAUGUUGAAUUAAUAAUCUAUUAAAUGCAACAAUUUAAUAACGAAAGUC